rnacentral:rRNA from 1 species
GGGUAGGCAGGGCAAGCCUGAUCCGCCAUGCCGCGUGUGUGAAGAAGGUCUUCGGAUUGUAAAGCACUUUAAGUUGGGAGGAAGGGUUGUAGAUUAAUACUCUGCAAUUUUGACGUUACCGACAGAAUAAGCACCGGCUAACUCUGUGCCAGCAGCCGCGGUAAUACG